UCAUGGCUCAGGACGAACGCUGGCGGCGUGCUUAACACAUGCAAGUCGAACGAUGAUGCCCAGCUUGCUGGGCGGAUUAGUGGCGAACGGGUGAGUAACACGUGAGUAACCUGCCCUUGACUUCGGGAUAACUCCGGGAAACCGGGGCUAAUACCGGAUAUGAGCCGUCCUCGCAUGGGGGUGGUUGGAAAGUUUUUCGGUCAGGGAUGGGCUCGCGGCCUAUCAGCUUGUUGGUGGGGUGAUGGCCUACCAAGGCGACGACGGGUAGCCGGCCUGAGAGGGCGACCGGCCACACUGGGACUGAGACACGGCCCAGACUCCUACGGGAGGCAGCAGUGGGGAAUAUUGCACAAUGGGCGCAAGCCUGAUGCAGCGACGCCGCGUGAGGGAUGAAGGCCUUCGGGUUGUAAACCUCUUUCAGCAGGGAAGAAGCGCAAGUGACGGUACCUGCAGAAGAAGCGCCGGCUAACUACGUGCCAGCAGCCGCGGUAAUACGUAGGGCGCAAGCGUUGUCCGGAAUUAUUGGGCGUAAAGAGCUCGUAGGCGGUUUGUCGCGUCUGGUGUGAAAACUCGAGGCUCAACCUCGAGCUUGCAUCGGGUACGGGCAGACUAGAGUGCGGUAGGGGAGACUGGAAUUCCUGGUGUAGCGGUGGAAUGCGCAGAUAUCAGGAGGAACACCGAUGGCGAAGGCAGGUCUCUGGGCCGCAACUGACGCUGAGGAGCGAAAGCAUGGGGAGCGAACAGGAUUAGAUACCCUGGUAGUCCAUGCCGUAAACGUUGGGCACUAGGUGUGGGG
rnacentral:rRNA from 1 species